rnacentral:pre_miRNA from 1 species
AGUGGGAUAGCUGGGUCAAUGGUGGUCCCAUUGCAAGUUUUCUAAGAAAUCUUCAUACUGUUUUCCAUAUUGGUUGCACCAAUUUGCAAUCCCAACAGCAAU